GAGACAAAUGACCGAUACGCAAACAAAUAAAUGUUAUCCAGGGUAAUAAAUGUUGAGCAAAGUGCUAAGGGAACAGUGACAGGGGACAGUUUAUUCUGCCCAGGCACAGGAAAGUGAGGAGGCAUUCUUCAGACAGUGGGGAAGCAUGCCAAGUUUGUUUGUUUGGUGAGAUGUGUUUCUAUUUGAGUUGCCUCUUUGAAUGAUAGAGUAUCUAUGAAGAAAAAAGAUGGUGUGAUAUCGUAAACAAAAACAGGCCCCAGAAGGAGCUCAGUGAGUCUGGAGAAUGAUGAGUGAGAGUCAGAAAAAAAAAAAACUGGCUGUAGUUCCACUGGGUUGAUAAACCUCCAGGUCACGGAGGAUUCUGUUCUACACAUUACAGCAGUGGCAAGAUAAUGGAGGACUUUUAGGAUGCCCUGGACCAGAUCAGAUUUCAGUCUUGGAAAACAAUUCCACGGGUGGUUCAGGGGAUGGAUGUAUAAAGGAGCCCAGAGAGUCCAAAAGCAUAAAAAUCAAUAAAACAACUAUAAUAAUAUACAGGGAAAUAAAUGCUUGGCUAGAGUUGUUCCAGGGUGGGUGCAGAGGAGAAUGAGUCUGGGAGCGAGAUGGAGUCAGAACUGACAAGGUUCAGUGCUGAUUGCGUGUGACAGCUGGAUUCCUCCAACUCCUACCCCGGAGUAAAGCUGAUGUAAUGUUCACUGUGGUUACGAAGCUAAUACUCCAACCUGCCAGUCAUGGACCACUGGUCUCUUCUUGGCUGCCUAAUGGGUUUAAUUUCUACUUCUGCCACGUUCACAGUCUGCCAUUAUUAUAUCACUGGACGUUUAUCUUCCAAAGCUAAUUAAGAAUUAAAUUGUGUCCCUUCUCAUCAAAAUCCACAUGCAGGAGUCCUAACCCGAUAACCCAGAAUAUAUGCUUGCCCCAAUAUAGAGUCAUGAUUGAAGGAUUCAAGCAAGAUAAGGUCCUAUAUGAAAAGGAGAAUUGAAGAUCUAGAUGUCCAUACAGGAAGAGUUCCAAGUGAGGAAGGCAAAGGUCAGGGAGAUUCCCCCUCCAAUCUACACUGGUAGCCAGCAAGUCUCCAGGAAUAUAAAUUAACACAUUGCUGCCCGGAAAGGGAAGCCACAGCAAAGUAAACACUGGGCUGCACUCAAGCACUUCCCAUAAGAGGUUAUUGCUGUUCUCUGUGAGCCCCUCAAACCCAGUCAGCUUUUCACAGCAACAGGUUUUUACUGAUCACUUAACCUACAUCAGAGCUUCCCAGUUACAAGACUUUGUUCUCUUGUCUUCACAGUGUUUAAUGCUACCUUAUGAUCACUAUUAAUGUAAUGUAAUAUUUGAUAUACCCCUCCCCCACCUCUCACCCCAGACACAGCUUACCCUGCUGCCCUUAGAAUAUACAUUCCAGGACACUGAGAUGCUUCUUGGUAUUUGCUAUAUCUUUAAAUACUUGGAGCAGUAGUUCUCAACCUGUGGCUUGUUGAACCUUUGGGAAUCAAAUGACCCUUUCACGGCAGGGGGUGGGGGUGGGGGGAAGUCUCAUCUCAUAUCAGAUAUCUUGCAUAUCAGAUGUUUAUGUUAUGGUUCAUAAUACUAGCAAAAUCACA
rnacentral:lncRNA from 1 species